rnacentral:rRNA from 1 species
ACGGGAGGCAGCAGUGGGGAAUAUUGGGCAAUGGGCGGAAGCCUGACCCAGCAACGCCGCGUGAGGGAAGAAGGUUUUCGGAUUGUAAACCUCUGUCCUUGGUGACGAAGGAAGUGACGGUAGCCAAGGAGGAAGCCCCGGCUAACUACGUGCCAGCAGCCGCGGUAAUACGUAGGUGGCGAGCGUUAUCCGGAUUUACUGGGUGUAAAGGGCGCGUAGGCGGGGAUGCAAGUCAGAUGUGAAAUCUAUGGGCUUAACCCAUAAACUGCAUUUGAAACUGUAUCUCUUGAGUGUCGGAGAGGUAGAUGGAAUUCCUAGUGUAGCGGUGAAAUGCGUAGAUAUUAGGAGGAACACCAGUGGCGAAGGCGAUCUACUGGACGAUAACUGACGCUGAGGCGCGAAAGCGUGGGGAGCAAACAGGAUUAGAUACCCUGGUA